AAAAAGUGUGGUAAUUUGUAUUGGUCCAUAAAAAUCCAAAUGACUGAAGAAGUUUGUGUUUGGCGUUUUAAAUGAUAAAGGUUGAGAAGAUGAAUACUUUGGCAAAGCACUGUAUAUCUGAGAGCUCAUGUGCAAUAACUGCUGAGAAGACAGAAGCAGAGCAGAGCGUUUCAUCAGCUGCCAUCAGAAGGAAGAACGUGUGCUGCCUGUUUGGCUUCCUCCUACCUAAGGUCUGAGAACCUACAGUCAGCAGUCUUUGAAAAGCUGAAUAAGAAAUCUCCCUUUUUGCCUGCCUGCAGGCCCCCUUUCUCAGCUGGCCUCACCAUCUGGAUAGAGCUGCUGACAUGUAAAUCGUGCCUUUAUUUUAUUCUUUUCAUUUUUUUUUGCAUGAUGCCUCAACUUUUCUCUUGUGAGUUCUGGAAAAAGAAAAGCUCAUGCUCUCAGGGCAAAUUAUGGCACAGGCUGGGACCAAAUAACUCUGGAUUACCUGCACAACGCAUAAAGUAUUACUGUAAAUUCCUAACACAACCGCAAAAGGAAAGGGCUUACGGUUUACAUUUUUAAGAGGGGGAAACCAGCGACAGAGCUAAUGCUAACCAGAUGUUCCCUCUCAAAUUCCAGUUCGGCCUUUGCUUUCUCAAGGUGGCAGCUGCAGAAUCUCUCGGAUCAAGACUUGCCCACUACUUUACCAAAUAAGAGCAACUAUUUAAAUUAGUCUCGCUAAAACUUUCAGCCUACUCCAAGCUACCUUUUUCAUUCCAAGUUUGUCAGAAAAGUUCUCUUUAGAGACCAGCUGAAAAAAAAAAACAACAACACUCAAAAAUGUUUCCAGCACCAAAACAGCUUGAGACUUUAAAGGCCUUAUUUGAUCCAUUUGCUCUUGGAGUACAGAGAUCUAGGUGUCGUUUUAGACUUAGGUUCUGCUUUUGACAGUGUAGACAAUAUUAUCUUAGCAUGGCUGGGACUUUAGGAGGCUUGGCAUUGAGAAAACUUAUCUACAGGGGGUAAGGUCUUAAAUAAGAGUUUCUCUAUCAACACAGACAUUUUCCUUCAGGAGCAACAACUCUUGCCUAUAAAAGGUUCCUCAAGGUUCUAUCCUUGGCCCAGUCUUGUUUUCAUUAUAUUCGUUAUCUCUGUGAAAUACAACAUUCCUUUCUGAUGUUUUGUCAACGACGUCCUUUGAUUUGAUCAAGUUCCAGGACUUGAUUUGAGAAACAUGGCAAAAGUAAAUGCACCCUCAGCUGCACCUUUAACUCUUUUUUCCUCUCCAUUUAUAUUGCAGACUGCAGCUUUUGGCCCCAUUAACCAACAAAACCCAAACAUCGAUUGUCACACAGAGAAAGUAUGCAGGCAUGGCCUUGUGAAACAGGGGAAAAGUGGAGCCUGGUAGCAGCCUGGACUUUAUCUGAAGCCGACUCGGCCUUCUCCCCCAUCUGCAGGUGCCGGGACAACAGCAGGGCAGAGCACAGACCACUAUGAAGAUCAGAGGAGCAUGCAGGAGGCAGGAUAACGGAGAAACUAGCUAAAG